rnacentral:tRNA from 1 species
AUUUGGAUAGUUUAAUUAAAAAUUUUAAUUUGUGGAAUUAAAGAUAUAUAUUAUUAUUCUAAAUA